rnacentral:lncRNA from 1 species
AUUUAACCUUAACAAGCUACAUCACCUCUUCUUCUGACAGAUGGGGCUGCAGAACUUGACUCUUGCUGGAAGCCUCAAGUUCAUCAGAAACAGUCGUGGCCCAUGUCUUUGAGGUUUGCUUCUAAGGUUAAGGUUCCAUAGCAAGUGGAGAAACCUUCAAUUGCCUUAGUGGAGUAAGAAGGACUAAGCAAAUCUCUAGUACAGAACCUUGCUGGGCUGAGAAGGAACCUCUCCUGCAGCCAAAGAGGGAGUAAGCAGAGGUCCCAGACCUCAGACCUGCCCUCUCACACCAGACCUUCUCUUCUGAGAAAAAGAGGAACCACCUAUUGCAAAUGGGCAGCAAAGUUUGGCUUUCAGGGUUAGAUGGAUGUGUCCUCCCAAGAGGCAACCUCGGGGUGGGGCUCCUUUGAUGGAUAUGUCACAGAAUGCAGGACAGUUCAUGAGAAAUAGCAGAUCCUGCCCUCUGAACACCAGUGGUCUCUCUCCUCCCAGAUGCACUGCCAUGCCCUCCUUGUCUGCAUGCUUUCCUUGGAAAUAUCCCUGGACCAGCGUGGCCCCUGCUUGAGAAGCACAGGUUUGCCCUGCUGUCUGACUCCCUGCUAGAGACAUCUUUACAUGACUUUGACUGAGGCUGUACUACUAUUUGAAGCUCUUUUAAGUGAUGGUGAUUAAUACACAGAACUUGAGGGAAACACUCUAUAAACAAAACUCUAAUUUCCAUAACUUUCCAAGAGAUCCACCUACAUUUUGUUUCUUGUCAAAUGUAAUGUCAAAAAAAGAAAAAGAAAUCUAGAAACUUCUAGCACUUCUUCCACCCUCUGCCCUAAGGAGGGAAGCUCAGUGUGUGGACUGUGAGAAGCCCCCAGAGCUGACGACGCUUCUUCCUCAGGGUCUGGAAGCUGCACAGCAUGGGGGCUCUGGCAGAAGCUGCCGCCCCUUUUGGGAUUACGGGGGGACACUCCAGUGAUGCAAGAAGGUGUGGGGAUUUUACUAAUUUGUUCAGUUGAGAAAUUAUUGGCUUGUGGUGAAAUCCAAUUCCAAAUUCUUUUUUGAUGAUACGAGCAAAUAUGUUUCUCAUACUAACAUAAAAAGCAAUGCUAACGUGAACAGGGUUAGAAAGCAGAGGAUCUGGAGAAAGAGGCAUUAGAUCGGACUGACUUGGGAGCCACUCAGUUUGUCCCAAAGGCAAGUAUGUGUUUUAUUCUUCAGAAAAGCUCGUAACAACUUUGACAGAGUUUUCUUAAGAACAGUCAUCAUAUUAGCUUGUAGGGCUGCCGUAAGAGAAGACAUCAAACUCGGUGGCUUCUACAAGAGAAAUGAACUGUGUCACAGUCCUAGAGGUUUGGCUCCCUUGGACACCUGUGAGGAAGUGAGUCUGGGGCCUCUCUCCUGGCACCUGUGGGCUUGCUGACAACCUUUG